UACAGAGGGAGCAAGCGUUAUCCGGAAUGAUUGGGCGUAAAGCGUUUGUAGGUGGUUCGUAAAGUUUAAUGUCAAAUACCAGGGCUCAACCCUGGACCGGCAUUGAAGCACUCACGAACUUGAGUACGGUAGAGGCAGAGGGAAUUCCUUGUGGAGCGGUGAAAUGCGUAGAGAUAAGGAGGAACACCAGUGGCGAAGGCGCUCUGCUGGGCCGAAACUGACACUGAGAAACGAAAGCUGGGGGAGCGAAUAGG
rnacentral:rRNA from 1 species